rnacentral:rRNA from 1 species
GACGAACGCUGGCGGCGUGCCUAACACAUGCAAGUCGAGCGGAGCGGCGAACGGGUGAGUAACGCGUGAGUAACCGCCCCCCUCUCUGGGAUUACAGUUGGAAAAGGGUGCCAAUACCGGCAAGUGGGGGAUGACUCGCGUCCAAUCAGUUUGGUGGUGGGGUAGGGGCUUACGAAGGCGACGACGGGUAGCCGGCCUGGGAGGGCGACCGGCCACAAUGGUCUAAGAUAGGGAGCAGACUGUAACGGGGGGCAGCAGUGGAGAGUAUUGCACAGUGAGGGAGAGCGUGAUGCGAAGACGCGCGUGCGGGAUGACGGCCUUCGGGUUGUAAACCGCAUUAAGCCAUGACGCGGUAGUGGCAGAAGAAGCACCGGCUAACUACGUGCCAGCAGCCGCGGUAAUUC